rnacentral:lncRNA from 1 species
GUCCCUUCCAACCCAAACCAUUUUGUGAUUUUGUGAUUCCGCGGUCUCUUGAAAACAGGGCCCUGGUCCUGAAGUCACAUUGCUUGGACAGAGCCUUAGGAAGGUUGUACACUGGACUAGGCCCAAGUCAUGAAGAGUUAAGUGUUAUUGGUUGUUCCAGUCAAUCAAGGGAAUUCCACUGGUCUGGCAGCAGUGUUGUGGCCUCCCAGGAAUGUGGCACUCAGCUCUGACUCCAACUGCUGCUGUUCGGGAGGCUCUGGGAAUGGGAAAAAGGUUUUUAAGUCUCUUCUGGGAAUCAACCUGCAACUGCCAUUGAGGUGCAGUUUUGUGCUAUCAAAGAGGAUGUGGGGGAUGGAGGAAGGGAAGUGGCACCCAGGGAUUGUUAAUGAUGCUAUACAGGUAGGGGCUAAUGGCACAUGGAGGGACGUGCAGGGUCCUGUCAGACCUACACUGCAGUCAGUGUUUUCUGCAUGAUAAGAAUAUUAAAAACUGCAUGAGGAGAGGGUAUGGGUUAAGUGGGGAAGCAAGCUGCCUGCACACACCAGUGGUGUGGUAUACAAACUACCAAGAUAAACUUUCCCUGAGGGAUUGCAUUUGGAUUAGGGGCAAUUUGCAAGGCAAAACUGUAUUUUUUUUUUUAAUCAGAGACAAAUCCUACCUUAAUUCCUUCAGUGACCUCGCCUGGACCUUUGUGAUCUCUGCCAGGCUCUUCCCAAGGCUCACCCCUGGCACAUUCCUCCAUCUAACCAAUGAUCUGACACAGAGUAAGGGAGGACCUGUAUCUUUUGUCCCAGCAGAACAGGAACUUCUCUGCCUCGUACUGGGGAAACAAGAGCAGUAUCACCUGACUCACAGGCUGUGCUGGGCGAAAAACAGUCCUUCAUAAGGACCCAGCUUCAUUUUUGUUUUCAGCUCUUGCUAGAAAAGACUUUCUUCACUGACCUCACCACACCAUGCAAAGAAAUGGGCAUGGAGGUCCUGUGUCUGUUCUCACUUAGGCUCUUCAAAGAAAUCUCAACUGCCUCGUAGCCACUUUAAAUAGGAAGAUGUUGGAGAAACGGCUUUUUUUUGUUAUUUUUUCUUUCAAGUACUGUACUUGGUGCAAUGACUCCUGGCGGCCUUUUGGGUCGCCAGGUGGGAUCUCCCAUUUCCAAACUGGAGUACAGUCUAAGUCUGUUUUCCUCUUGUGCUUCUCAGCCUGGUUUCCUGUCGCUGCUGCUCUCAAGCUGGUGCUGUAUUCUCUUUUUGUUCCAUAUACAUCACCGCUGCAGAGUUCACUGAGGCUUUUUCCCAUGGAGACACUUGUGUAGAUCCCUGCUAGAGCUGCUGGACCUCAUGUGAGCUUGUAUGCCAGACAUCUUGGGGCACAUCCCACGGCCUGAGCUGCUUUGCGAUGCUUUGCCAGUGAAUUACACAAGUUGGCUGUCUCUGUGGGCACUGAGGGGAUUGUGGAUGACACAGGAGGACUCCCAACCACCUGAAUGAUGCAGACUGUGCCCUACCCGCAAAGUGAGUGGUUUACCACUGAUGUUAACAUGAUCCCUCGCUGUAACCUACAGCCCCUGCCAAAUCAGAGAGACUGAAGGAAGCACCACAGCAUUUAAAGGGAAAGCCUUUAAUAUGUGGCAGAAAGGAGGCUCAGGGAAAAUGCUUCAAGAAAAACCUUCUGUACUGAAGACAGAAUUUCUUUCCCAUGUUAAACAAGGCAACUCCAGCUUUUCAGUCAUGUUAGUGAGAAGGAAAUCAAAUCCCACAGUGGAUUACAGCACUGCACAUGGCUCUGUUGGAGAGCUGGCACUAGUUAUUAUUUAAGAGAAUGUAAAUUAUGUGUCCUUAUUUGUCUUUUCUGCAAUUAGGGAAAUACCCAGUCAAUGUAAUGAAUAGCAGUUUUUAAGGGUAAGGGUACUGAAUGCACAGCAGCUGUAACUCAUUGCCUUAUCAUAUCCCAGAGUGAGAGAGCUGGGAGAAAACUGAACCUUCCCACAUCUUAGGAAGAGUCACAGUACACGCAUGAAUUCUCAACAUUUAAAGACUAGAAAUCAUGAUUCAGAGAAAAUGCCAACUGCUGAUGGACAGGGAUUAGGAGAAGACUCUGCUCUGUGAGCAGAUUAUUCUGCGCUGUGUCACUUGAGAGUUUCAAGGUUUUUUGGCGUGAGAGACAUUGACCAUUGCCAAGACCAGACACGGGACAUGAUGCACCACGGAUCUGACGCGAAGGGAGAGCAUCCAGCAGGAGACUCUGCCCACUGGGGUGCUUGGUCAAGUGCCGUGUGAACUCCAGCUCCAAAGCAGUGAUGAGGUAAAUCAGUGUGUCUCCCUCUCCCAGGCUUUGUUCUUUCAUUUUUCUAGUUGCCCUGGAUGCUUGGAAGGGGGAGUUCAUCUCAACCAACACGAUGGCCUAAGAGUUAUUGAAGUCUGAGCUGGUCACCUCUCAAGCAAUCAGCUGAAAUAGGAACAUGCAGAUGGCAAUUGUCUCACAUAUCUUAGGAUCUGUUGUUUAUGCAAGAGACCAGACUGACUAACUGUGAUUAAGAAAGCUAACUUUUCAGCAUUUAAAGGGAGGUGGGGCAAAUCCCAUCCAAAACAUUCAUCAGCAUCAUUCUCUGGUAUUGCAAAUCAUCGCAGAAUCACAGAAUGGUUUGGGUUGGAAGGGACCUUAAAGCUCAUCCAGCUCCAACCCCCUGCUAGGGGCAGGGACACCUUCCACUAGAGCAGGUUGCUCCAAGCCCCGUCCAACCUGGGCUUGAACACUGCCAGGGAUGGGGCAGCCACAGCUUCUCUGGGCACCCUGUGCCAGGGCCUCGCCACCCUCACAGUAAAUCUCCCAAGCUUUUUCCCCCAGGGAACCAAGUUAAACUGAUUGCUUCACAGGUGUUUCUGUGGCUUCUUAAGUCCGAACUGUUGUUUCUGCCUUUUUUUUUUUGUAUCCAUUAGGUAGUGUGUAGCUUCUUGUGGCAGCAGUUCAGCACUAGGUCUGUGUUACAAACAGCAAAUGGCUACAGAAGGAAAUUAUGGGAUCCUGCAGCAAAGGUUUUUAUUUUUUCAGCAAUGAGCAUAUUCACUGGAAACAUAAAGUUCCCAGGGAUUUGUAUUUAUGAUGCUGUAAAGUAAGUAACAGUAAUGUCCAGGAAUGUACCAAGCCAAGUAGUCUCUAUCGUUGACGUAACAGCACACCUACAUAACGUCUUGAUGUAACUCCUACCAAUUAUGUUAUUAGAAUAAAAAUGUACUUCCAACAUGCUUCAUAAUCAUUCCUGAGGUCACAAAAUGGGUCAGAAUCUGAAAUGGAGACAAAAAACUACAGAGGGACAGUCUCCGUCACUUUCCUCUGCCACUGUGCUGCUGGCUGGCGUCAGGCAAGCGCUCCCACCGCCUGUGCCCCGGCUGCUGAUGUGCAGGGGCAGAGCGUUUUUUACCCACUUUUUACAGUGCACUUCCAGAGUCACUGAUAAGAAAUCCCUAAACAAGUACAGAGGAAGGCUGUUGUGCCUGUGCCCUUCCUCAUAGAUGUGCUUCCCUGCACUGCUUGGCAUUUCCAGAAUCUGCCCAACUCUCAUUAGCCUCAGCCUUUGAUUAAAGAACUGAAAGUACCUUUUAAACCCCAGAGGCCAAUGAAUCAGCAUUGCUGCAUCUGAAUUCCACCAGUACAAGCAAGAUCAGAAUGUGAGCCCUAGGCUACAGCCCUGCUCAGAUGUGGGGAACAAACCCACACAUGCCAGCUGCCCUCUUACCCAAGCUUUCCUAUCCGCUUCUGCCCAGAACUCCACCUGCAUUUAUCUGGUGUUCCUUGCCGGGAGCAAUGGCAGAGUUUGGUGCUCUAGUUUGGCUUUGUAGCCAAAAUUAAGUUUUCCUAAUUACUGCUUUUCUGAGCUAAAGAAACAGAAGCUUGGGGAAAAGGACGAUGUGUAACUGAAGUUGAUGAGAGUUGCAGGUGGGAGCAUGGCUGGAUUAAACCUGAGGAUUUUUGGAAUCUUCCAACUUGUGUGGCGAGAUGGAAAAGGAGUGAACGUGGGCUGUUGCCAGGGAAGUAAGUGCAUUCAGGGAAUGAAGUCUCAGUGGUGUUGGGGUUGUAAUAAGUGAAAGGAUGGUUACCAAAGAGUGUGGAGACCUUGAGGCAAAGGGAAAGCAGUUAAUGAUAGUAGCUAAAUGUAAGAUAAAAAGUUGCUGUAAUAGGUGGAUGAAGCUGAUAACGAAUGGAGAGCACAGCUCAGCUCACGUAACGAAGGGCUGAGGAGAGGAGGUGGCAGUGACUCAGUAUGAAGGGUUGUGGUUGGGGGAGUGGAUUAAGGAGAAGGAGGGGGGACAGGAAUUGGUUUGAAAUCAGUCCCCUUGUCCCUGCUGGGGACAUGCUCUUAGCCCAGUCGCUUUACCGUGUACCUAGCAUGGGCAUCCUUCCUGUCCUGUGCUCUGUGCCAUCCCCAAAACCAUGCAAAGACAUCCUCCAGGUGGAUGCUGUGGAGAACAUGCACCACCAAACCAUUCAGCGGAAGGAAUUGCUUUCACACCCCAGCCAGCCCAAAGCAAGGCACAGCUGGACACACAGACAACCCCUGACUGCAUCUGAAAUGCCCCUUGCUGCACAGCAGCUGCUGCCACAGGCUUGAGAAAGAUGAUGGCAGAAGAUGCAUGUCUGGAUAGAUGCUUUGCAACUGUUUGUGCAGCCUGUAUCCUGAGCACAACCCGUCUCCAAACCACAGAGAAACUGUUGGUUGGCACACGAUGCUUGGGAGACCCCCAGGGAGGUAAAAUCCCAGGUGGAGACAGGUCCAGACAUUGCAGGGCACUCCCAGCACAUCCUGUAGGAAGUGAAUUCAGCUCUCCAAAAAGCCCUGAAGGCACAAGAGAGGUAGCAACAGGAGCAGACGGUCUAAAU